UGGGGAAUUUUGGACAAUGGGCGAAAGCCUGAUCCAGCAAUGCCGCGUGUGUGAAGAAGGCCUUCGGGUUGUAAAGCACUUUUGUCCGGAAAGAAAUCCUUGGCUCUAAUACAGUCGGGGGAUGACGGUACCGGAAGAAUAAGCACCGGCUAACUACGUGCCAGCAGCCGCGGUAAUACGUAGGGUGCAAGCGUUAAUCGGAAUUACUGGGCGUAAAGCGUGCGCAGGCGGUUUGCUAAGACCGAUGUGAAAUCCCCGGGCUCAACCUGGGAACUGCAUUGGUGACUGGCAGGCUAGAGUAUGGCAGAGGGGGGUAGAAUUCCACGUGUAGCAGUGAAAUGCGUAGAGAUGUGGAGGAAUACCGAUGGCGAAGGCAGCCCCCUGGGCCAAUACUGACGCUCAUGCACGAAAGCGUGGGGGAGCAAACAGGAUUAGAUACCCUGGUAGUCCACGCCCUAAACGAUGUCAACUAGUUGUUGGGGAUUCAUUUCCUUAGUAACGUAGCUAACGCGUGAAGUUGACCGCCUGGGGGAGUACGGUCGCAAAGAUUAAAACUUAAAGGAAUUGACGGGGUCAUAGCUGUUU
rnacentral:rRNA from 1 species